rnacentral:rRNA from 1 species
CCAUCAUUCAGUUGGGCACUCUAGCGAGACUGCCGGUAAUAAACCGGAGGAAGGUGGGGAUGACGUCAAAUCAUCAUGCCCCUUAUGACCUGGGCUACACACGUGCUACAAUGGUUGGUACAACGAGUUGCGAGUCGGUGACGGCGAGCUAGUCUCUUAAAGCCAAUCUCAGUUCGGAUUGUAGGCUGCAACUCGCCUACAUGAAGUCGGAAUCGCUAGUAAUCGCGGAUCAGCACGCCGCGGUGAAUACGUUCCCGGGCCUU